GACGAACGCUGGCGGCGUGCUUAACACAUGCAAGUCGAACGAAGUGGCGGACGGGUGAGUAACGCGUAAUCAACCUGCCCUUCAGAGGGGGACAACAGUUGGAAACGAAUGCUAAUACCGAAUACUGAAGGAGGGGUUUGCGUCUGAUUGGCUAGUUGGUGGGGCAACGGCCCCCCAAGGCGAAGAUCAGUAGCCGGUCUGAUGGGAUGAACGGCCACAUUGUGACUGAGGAACGGCCCAGACUCCUACGGGAGGCAGCAGUGGGGAAUCUUCCGAAAUGGACGAAAGUCUGACGGAGCAACGCCGCGUGAGUGAUGACGGCCUUCGGGUUGUAAAGCUCUGUUAAUCGGGACGCGGUACCGGAAUAGAAAGCCACGGCUAACUACGUGCCAGCAGCCGCGGUAAUUC
rnacentral:rRNA from 1 species